AUGUCCACCAACUUCGCGACAUCUGUCACAUCACCCUGUCAGUCCAGCCACAUAUAAUAAAAGUAGUCUGUGCAGUCCAGUCCAGCCCCAGACCAGAGGCGUCAGUUAAAUCCCUUGUGACCAGAUGACUCCAUAAAUAGUCCAGAUGAUUCCCAUGUUCACAUCUGCCGUCCUUAUCGUGCAUUGUUGGCAAACCGUGUUCUUUCUCAUCGUGUUGUUUGCCACAUUCCUGUCACUGAGAGAACUGCUCAGGGUCACCAGAAGGGGCAGAGGGUGCUUCGCCAAUAGUGCAGAUUAAGCAUGAGCAAGGACGAAACAUCUUUCCUGUUGUACCUGAUCGACCACUUCUGGGAGACCGUCUGUUUCAUGUUGAUAGCGUUUGCGUUUGUUAUCUCCAUUUUUGAACUGAUCCGCGUUACAAGACCUCGAGCCACUCUCAACAGAGGUUGCUGAUUUUAUAAAAAUGGAGUACGAUGCUCUUAUUCUUGGACUCGUAAUUUAUCUGCUCUUGGUGGGGAUAUUGAUAAUAAUAAACGAAGCCUUCUGCAAGGCGCGUUGUAUGAAGAACGCACAAAUAAUACAGAUGGAGAGAGAGAUGCAAGAUGUGGAGCUAAACGAGCGCCAACCAACCAAAAUGGACAGGGAACCCAUCAUACAACAACCAACAAAAACCUCGCAUCAUCAACGUUUCCGAUAAUAAGACAUAGAUGGCGCUUACCUCAAAGACCAUUAUAUUUCUGGCCACAAGAAGAUUUGAUAACACUAAUGUUUCAACAAACUCACAUAAACAUAAUGCUAAACUCAGGGACUGACGUCAAGAAAACAACGACACGUUUUUUAUAAAAUUAUUUUUACUUAUACAUUCUUAGUUUUUUAUAAUUCAAUUUACUUACAAACUCUUACAACUAUUUCAUAUUAUCUUACACUUAUACUAACGAAGUCUAAUUAAAGCAGCUUCAAUAAAUACCUA